rnacentral:rRNA from 1 species
CCUACGGGAGGCAGCAGUGGGGAAUAUUGCACAAUGGAGGGAACUCUGAUGCAGCGACGUCGCGUGAGUGAAGACGUCCCUCGUUAUUUUAAGCUUCAUUUGUAGGGAAGAAAGUGACGGUACCUGUAACUGAUUCUCCGGCUAAAUACGUGCCAGCAGCGGCGGGUACACGUCUGGAGCAAGCGUUAUCCGGAUUUACUGGGUGUAAAGGGAGAGUAGGUGGGUGAGCAAGUGCGGAGUGAAAACCCUAAGCGCAACUUUGGGAAUGCUUUAGAAACUGCUUAGCGAGAGUGCAGGAGAGGCAAGUGGAAUGCGUGGUGUAGCGGUGAAAUGCAUAGAUAUUACGAAGAACACCAAUGGCGAAGGCAGCUUACUGGACUGUAACUGACACUGAUGCUCGAAAGCGUGGGUAGCAAACAGGAUUAGAUACCCCAGUAGUC